AGCCUAAAUAAAUAUCAAUAAAAUAAGCAAUAUCAUACAAUUCCAUCAACAAAGUUUCAUUACAAUCAGAUGGUAAGACAAAUACAAGCAAUUUUUCCAAAUUAACCGAAGUCUAAAAGUUCACAAAAGCUGAAUAAUUUUGGUUAACUUGAACAUUACCCUCGAAGGGUAUAAUCGCUUCAACAGGCGAGGCAGAGCCAGAGUAUGAAUGUUAGCUAGCUCAAUAGUAGGCACGACCACACAUGAAGGAAUGGCCUGGGAAUCCGUAGGUUGGAAAGGUUCGAUAGGAAUGGAUAAAGUAUCUAGAGCCUCAGGGGCCAAUGGAGAAACCUCGAGAGAUAGGUGUGCUCGACAUCUUCUUUGCGAAUCUCCAGAAAGUCCAUAUAUUACUCAGGGUGAAAACUCCUGAUGGUAUGAAGAACCUUAUUACCCUCCUCCUGAAUAGCUUCCUCAAUAAGUUGUCUCACGAACACUCAUUUCAGAGAGGCUAGACUCUGCAAUAUCUAAUUUUGUCUCAUUACUUUCUAAAUUGACUGCAAACCAAGACCAUUUCAUUCCUAAUGUAUUUGGAAGUAACAUACUGGCCAGCUCUUGCCAAUUGGAGCUCUUCUCUAAGACAUGAAAAUUCACGAUCAGUCUUGUUGACGUAAAGCUCCAUGGCUCUCUUUAGCCACUCUAGAUCCUUGGAGACCUCCCUAACAUUGGCCACUAGGGAAGCUUCCGUUGUAACAAAAGUUUAAGCACCUUUGCUCCUCUCUUUGUAUUAGGACUUCCCCUUCUCGGCUUUCCCCAACUUUUUCUGAAGGGUAUCACACCUCUUUUCCUAGGAAUAAACUUUCUUAUCCAGGGUAUCAGCUUGCAGAAUACAAACCUCAUAUUCAAUCAUUUUCCUACUUUACGUAGGGAAAGCUUCUCCGCAAAUUUUUUCCAAGAUUUAUUAAAAUAUUUACGGAUCUCGUAUAAACUCCAAAAAGCCUUGGAGCUGAAGCAGUAGCAAAGAAAUUUCACCCUCUAACCCCAUGGGAGGAUAAGGGUCGCUUGGUCGUGCCCUUGACCACCUCCAAUGGUAUAUUCCUAUCCUUGGAUCCUUUAGAAGCCAAUUCCUUAGGACGGGAGGCAUUGAAUUUUCUUGGCACUUAUGGACUGUCAAAGGAUUUGAGUUAAAAUUAAUUUGCAUUGUGAAAGAAAAAAAUUAGAAAUUAUCUAAAAUAGAGGAAUCAAGAAAAAAAA
rnacentral:lncRNA from 1 species